AGAAUGAACGUUGGCGGCGUGGAUUAGGCAUGCAAGUCGAACGGAUUUGGUAGCAAUACCAGGUCAGUGGCGUAAGGGUGAGUAAGGCGACGGCAACCAACCCCAUGGUUGGGCAUAGCCGCGGGAAACUGCGGGUAAUUCCCAGCGAUGUUCAGAUCGGGCAUCCGAUUUGAACCAAAGUUCUGGCGCCGUGGGACGGGCCGUCGUGGUAUUAGGUAGUUGGCGGGGUAAUGGCCCACCAAGCCUCUGAUGCCUACCGGGCGUGCGAGCGUGGCCCGGCACACUGGGACUGAGACACUGCCCAGACUCCUACGGGAGGCUGCAGUCGAGAAUCUUCGGCAAUGGGCGCAAGCCUGACCGAGCGACGCCGCGUGGAGGAUGAAGGCCUUCGGGUUGUAAACUCCUGUCGAGGGGGAGGAAGGGGUAACCUUGACCUAUCCCUGGAGGAAGCACGGGCUAAGUUCGUGCCAGCAGCCGC
rnacentral:rRNA from 1 species